AAACGAAACUUGGGGCCGAGGUUUUCCGGCAAACGACGUGGCCGGGCCCCGCCUCGCUGGGAGGUGCGGCGGCUCCGGGACCGGCCCCCGGCCGCAGCGAGCGGGGGCAGCGGCUCCGGGACCCCCCCGGUACGGGGCGGGCACACAGCGGGGGGCUCCCAGCAGGGCCCCGUCUGGUUUUACACACCGAGCACGGCCGAAGCAGCUCCCGUUAAUGCACCCAACUUAGGGCUGUGUGCACGCAGAAACCACCUCAAUGCAUUUCCUCUCUCUCUUUUUUUUUUUUUUUUUUUUCCUCCACGCUUUGCUUCUUCCUCAAACUAACAGAGGGAAGUUAGGCAGGAGAUACAGUAUGGAAAUUUGAUUGACUGCUCUGUAAUAACAGCAUAACCUGGCUGUGACAGAGGAGCUCAGGGACCAGGUGAAAAAAAGCACUUCUUCCUGGCCUCGUUUGCAUUAAGCCAUCACCAUCUUUCAAGGGCUCGGCACCCUCGCUGACUUCUGCAACACUCAUCUGACAUCUACUAAUGCAAAGCUUCACCUAGUUUUCAGCUAGCUUUGGGUUUUAGGUUUUAAUUUUUACUGCUGCAAAAGGAAUAAUCUGCAGACUCAACCAGAUGCCACCUAUACCCAGACUUGGCUUCUUCAGCAAGAGGGAAGUACAAGAACAAAGUCUCCUACUCCUAGACCCUGACACCUAUCACAGUCCCAGGCAGCCUUUCAGGACUCACUGCUCCAAAGGAUUUCUGUUCAGGUCAGGCUGUGAAAUGAGAUCAAGGAGAAGGAUCCAGUCUCCUCAGUUCCAGUGAUUUCAUUUUUCUUUACUUUUUUAUUUUGUGCUGAAGUGUAAUUAUUUGUUAUUUAUUGUAAGCUUUGCAAUAAUAUUUUAGAAACACUGCAGAGAGAAAUAAUAACAGAGGAAUUUUUAUUUUUUUUUUAAUAACAUCUAAUUUUAACACUGACUUUCCUUGCACAUAGGAGAGGGGUAAUGCUUCUUUAUGUCAUUCUUAUAUUUAAACAUAAACCUUGAAACCAUCCUCAGGAUAGAGAGAAACUUUGAGAAGAUAAAGCCUGAAAGGUCAGUUAUUCGUGACCUGAUUGGGUGCCACGUAAGGGAGUCUUUGUACAGCUGUACAUGGAAAUUCACAUUGAAACAGCCGCAGAGACACUUCUUUGUUUGUGUUGUAUAAAUGUGGCAAGUCUUAAGAAAUGCAUUUAAGAUACUGAAUAAUAGAAUCAUUUAGGUCGGAAGAGACCUAAGAUUACCAAGUCCAACCACAAUGUGGAAUCUUAAAAAAAAAAAAAAAAAAAAAAAAAGGAUUUUUUUAUUCUUUUUGUGAAGGAUUUUAACAAGAGCCAAGAUUUUGCCUUUAUGCCACUGGUGAGCACUGCUCAUCUCGAUCCCAUGAUCUGCAACAGUUAGCUAGCACAUGACAGCUCAAGAAAACUUUCAGAUCUUUGAAUAUGCGAGUUUUAUUACAGCAGUACAGGCAAUGCUUUGUUAUCUGGGGAGAUGGGAGGCUGGUGCUGCCUGAGAAUGGAAAAGCCUGGUGAUACAGGUGAUUCAAGCACUGUGCAAACACUCAAACUCCUCCCUCACAGCCCUAUCUAGCUUCAGGAUAGAAUUACCUGGCCCUAUUUGUAUGCUCAAAACCUUUGUAAAAAUCUAAGUCAGAAAAGAAUUUUUAGGGCCAAGAACAGAAACUGUAAUAUUUUCUAUAGUAUGGGAAACUAUUAGGUUAUAAGGACAGCAAGAGGAAUGAAUGCUUUCAGAGCCUACAAACAUUUGGAAGCAGUUUUACAUUCUGAACCACUUGCUGAAGUUUAAAAAAAAAGUUUUGGGAAAAAAGAAGAUUAAGAUCAUAUUCUAAAGUGCAAGCUUUUGGUUGUCAGGACUAAACCAUUUGUAUCAUAUCAUGCAAAAUUUAGAGCAGCCCAAGUGAAGCAAUUUUAGCCCGGUAACAUUCAGCAUUUCAAAGUUCUUUACCUUAAAGGCAAUUCUUUCUCCCACUUGUGGUGGGGCAGCUAGAAGAGGUAAUACACUAUAGUCUCUCUUGGGGACCUCCACGGCAUUCUGUGAAACAAACAAUAAACCCAUUGAUUUGA